CGCCCUGGAGGGGCUGCUGGCCACCGUCACCGGGGUGCUGGCCGGGACGGCGGCGGCGAUGUUCACGGUGCUGCCGUUCGGCUCCGCGCGGGCCGGCC
rnacentral:tRNA from 1 species